AUUGAACGCUGGCGGCAGGCUUAACACAUGCAAGUCGAACGAAGUGGCGAACGGGUGAGUAACGCGUAAUCAACCUGCCCUUCAGAGGGGGACAACAGUUGGAAACGACUGCUAAUACCGCAUACUGAAGGAGGGGAUUGCGUGUGAUUAGCUAGUUGGAGGGGUAACGGCCCAACAAGGCGCUGAUAAGUAGCCGGGCUGGGAGUAUGAACGGCCACAUUGGGACUGAGACACGGCCCAGACGCCUAAGGGAGGCAGCAGUGGGGAAUCGUCCGCAAUGGACGAAAGUCUGACGGAGCAACGCCGCGUGAGUGAUGACGGCCUUCGGGUUGUAAAGCUCUGUUAAUCGGGACGCGGUACCGGAAUAGAAAGCCACGGCUAACUACGUGCCAGCAGCCGCGGUAAUUC
rnacentral:rRNA from 1 species